rnacentral:ncRNA from 1 species
UUUAGUUCUUGUGAGAUAAUAGCAGGGAAUCUCGUGUGAAUCGGGAACUAUCCUCGUAACUGUGAUUGGAAAAAAUAAAAACAUAAGCCACUGAAAAAAAAUGCAAUGUUUUUUUUUGGGAAGGCGUUUUUUUUAACUUCCAUAAGUCAGGAGACCAGCCUUGAUAUA